CUACAAUUUUCUCUCAAAAACCCUACAAAACUUUCCCUUUUCUCAAACCCAAAUAACCGAUGCCGUCGUCUCGCAUUCAUAAAAUUGAUACUACAAUUCUCAAACUUCUGAUCGAGGUUAUUAAGGUGCGAAGAGGAGAAAGCCUUGGAACUGUUGUACUAGAUAACCAUAAGCUCAUUAUUCAUGAAGGACUUUCAAUGUCAACAUAAGCUCAUUAUUCAUGAUGGACUUUCAAUGUUGGAUCCCUCAAGGAGAUGACAUUCUGCUUUUCAGUGCUCAAAAUGACUUCCACUAGGAGCAUACUUAAGGGCCGUCGUCCUUGUCAAAGGUUGAUAUGCAAAAAUUAGAGUCAACAAGAGGACAGUCUUGUGCAAAGGGUGUUGCCAUAGAGAUUUCAGUUGCCUCUUUAAUUUGUACGGAGGUUCACUAAGCGAACUGUUGUGAAUCAAUGUUCUUGUAGUCGGCAUUGGACUUUAUAUAUAGUUAGCAUUCCGCUUGUUCUGAACAUAUUCUAUGAGAACCAUUACCGAAUGGUGGUAUAAGAUUUACAAAAAUAAGGUCUAAGUACUCUUUUGUUUUAAUUCAAAUAUCUUUUGUAGUGUAUGACAUUGUAAUAUCAAAAUUAUAUGAA